rnacentral:rRNA from 1 species
CAGUCGCCACGGGAAUACGUAGGUGGCAAGCGUUGUCCGGAAUUAUUGAGCGUAAAGGGCUCGCAGGCGGUUUCUUAAGUCUGAUGUGAAAGCCCCCGGCUCAACCGGGGAGGGUCAUUGGAAACUGGGAAACUUGAGUGCAGAAGAGGAGAGUGGAAUUCCACGUGUAGCGGUGAAAUGCGUAGAGAUGUGGAGGAACACCAGUGGCGAAGGCGACUCUCUGGUCUGUAACUGACGCUGAGGAGCGAAAGCGUGGGGAGCGAACAGGAUUAGAGACCCCCGUAGUCCCUGUCUCUUAUAC